rnacentral:rRNA from 1 species
CCUACGGGCGGCUGCAGUGGGGAAUAUUGCACAAUGGGGGAAACCCUGAUGCAGCGACGCCGCGUGCGUGAAGAAGUAUUUCGGUAUGUAAAGCUCUAUCAGCAGGGAAGAAAAUGACGGUACCUGAUUAAGAAGCCCUGGCUAACUACGUGCCAGCAGCCGCGGUACUACGUAGGGGGCAAGCGUUAUCCGGAUUUACUGGGUGUAAAGGGAGCGUAGACGGCAGCACAAGUCUGGAGUGAAAUGCCGGGGCUUAACCCGGGAAUUGCGUUGGAAACUGUGCAGCUAGAGUGCAGGAGAGGUAAGGGGAAUUCGUGGUGUAGCGGUGAAAUGCGUAGAUAUUAGGAGGAACACCGGUGGCGAAGGCGGCUUACUGGACUGUAACUGACGUUGAGGCUCGAAAGCGUGGGGAGCAAACAGGAGUAGAUACCCUUGUAGUC